GAUUUGGACAUCAUAUUAAAUAUAAGCAGAAUGUGCGUGUCCACAAACUGAAGAGCUAACUGAGGUUAGAAAAAAUUACUAAAAAUUAAAAAGCAUAUUAUUAUACAAUGUUGGACAUCACAAUCUAAUGUCUACAAAUCAUUUCUCUUAUAUAGUUGAUGUUAGGAGAGCAUUAGCUUUAAACAUUAUAGGCCUAAAUUAUAAAAUGACAAUCAUAAUCUAUUGCUUAUAUGCAAGGGGGUGAAUAUGGUUAUAAUUCUCAUGAUUUUAUUUCUUUUCCAAUUUCAUAUUGCAAUAAACGAAGAAGUGGAUAUUGAAUGUAAGAAUGAUUCCAAUUGUCCAACAAGUAUGUGCCUGCAGCCAGGAACUUUUCCGUUGUGCGAUUUAAGCGUGUGUAUAUGUGUUAUAUGGAUUCACCAAAACAUUCAUCUUUGAAUACCAAACACAAGAAAAGACUACACAAACUACUUGCACUCAAGUUUUAGCAAAAGAUCUAUGUAAUAACCCUUCUACUAUAAUAUUUCAUGAGUUCUCAUUAAAUUAUUAUGUUGGCAACCAAUAAUUCGAUUUUUUUUUAAUUAUUUUUCUUUUCUUAAUUUUACAGGUCAUAUAGUUUUGUACUCUGUUAAAGUAUUAGAAUAAAUCAAGUUUGAUUUUAUGGCAA